GAUCCCUACGGGGCGCAGCAGUGAGGAAUAUUGGUCAAUGGGCGAGAGCCUGAACCAGCCAAGUCGCGUGAGGGAAGACGGUCCUACGGGUUGUAAACCUCUUUUGUCAGGGAGCAAGGACGGAUACGUGUAUCCGAGCGAGAGUACCUGAAGAAAAAGCAUCGGCUAACUCCGUGCCAGCAGCCGCGGUAAUACGGAGGAUGCGAGCGUUAUCCGGAUUUAUUGGGUUUAAAGGGUGCGUAGGCGGACUGCCAAGUCAGCGGUAAAAUUGCGGGGCUCAACCCCGUCGAGUCGUUGAAACUGGG
rnacentral:rRNA from 1 species